AGCAAACAGCCAGGAGGAUCGUUAGCAUAAUUUAUUUUGUUUAUGUUUUACAACAGUGCGAUAAAACAAGAUGGACGCCAGUGGGCGGUAAAUAAAUAUUAAUGACAUAAAGAUGAUAAAAGGGACACAAAAGGCAAAGAGGACGAAUGUGUUAUAUGUUGGACAUGGCAUUCCUCAUUUAGAAAUCUAAAUCCAGCGGAAACAUUAUAAAUAGAUCCGAGGCAGACAGUUUAUGUGAGAAAACCCUCCAUCUUGCCAGAGUUGAGGCUGUUCUGGAGAGAGCAAAUGGAAUAAAUUCUUCCGAGAAGUCUGUGCAAGACUGGUCAGGACUUACUGGAAACAUUACAACCAGCAGACACCACAUAUUGAGAGCAAAUGUGUGCAAUCUGUCUCCUGAAUGAUAUGCAAUACUGCAGUGUAACGGAAGGACAUCUAGGCAUAUAGUACCUGCACAGUGACACUAACCAGCUCAUUAUGGGGGACAGAAACCCGUUACCAGGGCAGAAGGGAUACAUAGUCCCUCCAGUGUUUCCUACGUCGUACCCACAAAACUUCUAAAGGAAAAUGCCCAGGAGGCAUCCUGAUCUGAAGAUUAAACCACCUCAACCGACUCCUGUUGAGGCUGAGAAGCUCCUACAAUAGCUUCCAUCAGAGGAUUGAGAUUUCAUCCGAUCUUCAGCAGAGCCAGGUGACUUUACAAAGCAAGCUGAUGUCCACCACCGGUAUCUGAGAUCUCAUUCUUUUUGGUAAUGUCAUUAACCUUGGUCAGGGUUGGAGAGGUAAACAGGCUGGUAAAUUGAGACCUUUGCUCUCGAUGUGUUUUUACUGUCUCUUUUGGCUGCUGAUACAGUGCUCUACACACCUUUGAGUCCAUGACAAAUUUCCCCCUAGGGGACGACAAAGUAUAUGAUCUUCUAUUCAUUGCCUGCAGUGCUGCAGAUGAACACCAGUCCAUUGGUCCUUCUUCUACUCCAUUCUGCCAUCGUCCAUGAACAACAUUUUCCCGUAAGGCAAAGACUACGUGGAGGGAGCAAUCAACAUUUUUCCAUCAGUAAACCAUGAAUUCAGACAUCAUCUGCAAAAACUGAAGAUAAGAACCGAAGUUUCCCUGACCAGAAACCCUUCUCUCCAUGACUACACCUUGAGACAAUGUCUACACCCGAAACAAACCUGGUAUAGGGGAUUGCUUCUGUUCGGCCAUGCUGGACCCUUCGGUUCUUCAUCAGGCAUAGCAACAACUUUCUUUACUGCUGUUAAAUUCAGAAAUCACUUUUGUUUUUAUUUAGGCUGUCACAUAAAAUCCUCCUCAAAAAAUGCUUAGAAGUUUGAGAUUGUACCAUUACAAAACAUGAGAUAUUCAAGGGGUGCCAAUACUUGCAAGGCAAUUAUUGCAAGGCAAGGAGUGCCUUGCAAUACUUGCGAUACUCCUGCUUAGUAUCGCAGUCUGACCAUGUCAGU